GGAUGGGUGGCAGAGUGGUCUAUCGCACCGCACUCGAAAUGCGGAGUACGGCAACGUACCGUGAGUUCGAAUCUCACCCCAUCCGCCA
rnacentral:tRNA from 1 species